GUCGAGAAUAAUUCACAAUGGGGGAAACCCUGAUGGUGCAACGCCGCGUGGAGGAUGAAGGUCUUCGGAUUGUAAACUCCUGUCAUCCGGGAGCAAGACCUGGGCGUGAAUUGCGCACAGGUUUGAUAGUACCGGAAGAGGAAGGGACGGCUAACUUCGUGCCAGCAGCCGCGGUAAUACGAAGGUCCCAAGCGUUGUUCGGAAUCACUGGGCGUAAAGGGUGCGUAGGCGGCGUGGUAAGUCAGAUGUGAAAUCCCGGGGCUCAACCUCGGAACUGCAUCCGAUACUGCCAUGCUUGAGGGCUGGAGAGGUAACUGGAAUUCUCGGUGUAGCAGUGAAAUGCGUGGAUAUCGAGAGGAACACUCGUGGCGAAGGCGAGUUACUGGACAGCAUCUGACGCUGAGGCACGAAGGCCAGGGGAGCGAAAGGGAUUAGAAACCCCAGUAGUCC
rnacentral:rRNA from 1 species